AUACCGCGACGUCCUACGGGAGAAAGCAGGGGACCUUCGGGCCUUGCGCUAUCAGAUGAGCCUAGGUCGGAUUAGCUAGUUGGUGAGGUAAUGGCUCACCAAGGCGACGAUCCGUAACUGGUCUGAGAGGAUGAUCAGUCCCACUGGAACUGAGACACGGUCCAGACUCCUACGGGAGGCAGCAGUGGGGAAUAUUGGACAAUGGGCGAAAGCCUGAUCCAGCCAUGCCGCGUGUGUGAAGAAGGUCUUCGGAUUGUAAAGCACUUUAAGUUGGGAGGAAGGGCAUUAACCUAAUACGUUAGUGUUUUGACGUUACCGACAGAAUAAGCACCGGCUAACUUCGUGCCAGCAGCCGCGGUAAUACGAAGGGUGCAAGCGUUAAUCGGAAUUACUGGGCGUAAAGCGCGCGUAGGUGGUUCGUUAAGUUGGAUGUGAAAGCCCCGGGCUCAACCUGGGAACUGCAUCCAAAACUGGCGAGCUAGAGUACGGUAGAGGGUGGUGGAAUUUCCUGUGUAGCGGUGAAAUGCGUAGAUAUAGGAAGGAACACCAGUGGCGAAGGCGACCACCUGGACUGAUACUGACACUGAGGUGCGAAAGCGUGGGGAGCAAACAGGAUUAGAUACCCUGGUAGUCCACGCCGUANACGAUGUCAACUAGCCGUUGGGUUCCUUGAGAACUUAGUGGCGCAGCUAACGCAUUAGGUUGACCGCCUGGGGGAGUACGGCCGCAAGGAUUAAAACUCAAAUGAAUUG
rnacentral:rRNA from 1 species